rnacentral:lncRNA from 1 species
GGUUAUAUUUAAGUGAUAUUGAGUUCUCUAUGUCAUCUGAACUAAUUCUAGAGCACUCAACACAUAUUGUCAUUCUUGUAUGGUGAGUUAGAGUAGUUUUUUAACUAUUUAAUAUCGUUGAAAAAAAAAUGAUAGAUGAAUAGGAAUAUCUGAAUGCAGAAUCAGAAAAAUCUGUAAUAUAGCGAAUGACCCUAAUUUAUAACUAUGCCAAAUA